rnacentral:rRNA from 1 species
GAUGAACGCUGGCGGCGUGCCUAAUACAUGCAAGUCGAGCGAACGGACGAGAAGCUUGCUUCUCUGAUGUUAGCGGCGGACGGGUGAGUAACACGUGGAUAACCUACCUAUAAGACUGGGAUAACUUCGGGAAACCGGAGCUAAUACCGGAUGAUAUUUUGAACCGCAUGGUUCAAAAGUGAAAGACGGUCUUGCUGUCACUUAUAGAUGGAUCCGCGCUGCAUUAGCUAGUUGGUAAGGUAACGGCUUACCAAGGCAACGAUGCAUAGCCGACCUGAGAGGGUGAUCGGCCACACUGGAACUGAGAAACGGUCCAGACUCCUACGGGAGGCAGCAGUAGGGAAUCUUCCGCAAUGGGCGAAAGCCUGACGGAGCAAAGCCGCGUGAGUGAUGAAGGUCUUCGGAUCGUAAAACUCUGUUAUUAGGGAAGAACAUAUGUGUAAGUAACUGUGCACAUCUUGACGGUACCUAAUCAGAAAGCCACGGCUAACUACGUG